rnacentral:rRNA from 1 species
UGCCUUAGUACGGCGAGUGAAGCGGCAAAAGCUCAAAUUUGAAAUCUGGCACCUUCGGUGUCCGAGUUGUAAUUUGAAGAAGGUAACUUUGGAGUCAGCUCUUGUCUAUGUUCCUUGGAACAGGACGUCACAGAGGGUGAGAAUCCCGUGCGAUGAGAUGUCUGAUUCUAUGUAAAGUGCUUUCGAAGAGUCGAGUUGUUUGGGAAUGCAGCUCUAAGUGGGUGGUAAAUUCCAUCUAAAGCUAAAUAUUGGCGAGAGACCGAUAGCGAACAAGUACAGUGAUGGAAAGAUGAAAAGAACUUUGAAAAGAGAGUGAAAAAGUACGUGAAAUUGUUGAAAGGGAAGGGUUUGAGAUCAGACUUGGUAUUUUGUAUGUCUUGCUUUCGGGUGGGGCCUCUACAGUUUACUGGGCCAGCAUCGGUUUGGACGGUAGGAUAAUGACAUUGGAAUGUGGCACCACUUCGGUGGUGUGUUAUAGACUUUGUUGAUACUGCCUGUCUAGACCGAGGACUGCGUCUUUGACUAGGAUGCUGGCAUAAUGAUCUUAAACCGCCCGUCUUGAAAGGCGAAACCAGAAAAA